rnacentral:rRNA from 1 species
AUGGAUGCGGCCGAAGCCAGUGCGAGAUGGUGUGUGGUCACUGGCGGCCGCGGCUUCGCGGCGAGACAUCUGGUGCUGAUGCUUCUCCGCUCCGGCGAGUGGCGCGUGCGCGUGGCCGACCUGGCCCAAGUCAUCUCUCUCGACCUAGACGAGGAGCAGGGUAUCCUCGGGGCCGCCAUCCGCGAAGGACAAGCCGUUUACGCGUCCGCCGACCUCCGCGACAAGGCCCAGCUGGCCAAAGAUUUUGAGGGGGCAGAAGUAGUUUUUCAUAUGGCUGCUCCAGACUCAUCCAUCAACAACUUCCAUCUUCAUUAUUCGGUGAAUGUUGAAGGAACAAAGAAUGUCAUUGAUGCAUGUAUCCAUUGCAAGGUGAAGCGACUUAUCUACACUAGUUCACCAAGUGUAGUUUUUGAUGGUGUUCAUGGAAUUUUUAAUGCAGAUGAAUCAAUGCCUUACCCAGAUAAGUUUAAUGAUUCGUAUUCAGAAACAAAGGCAGAUGCAGAAAAAUUGGUGAUGAGAGCUAAUGGUAGGGAUGGGCUUCUUACUUGUUGUAUACGCCCAAGUAGCAUUUUUGGGCCCGGUGAUAAGCUACUGGUUCCUUCUCUGGUUGCUGCGGCAAGGGCAGGCAAGUCCAAAUACAUAAUUGGCGAUGGGAACAACUAUUAUGAUUUCACCUACGUCGAAAACGUUGCCUAUGGCCAUGUUUGUGCGGAUAAAACUCUAUCAUCUGAAGAUGGUGCAAAGAGAGCUGCUGGAAAAGCCUACUUCGUGACAAAUGUGGAGCCCAUAAAGUUCUGGGAGUUCAUGUCGUUGCUUCUAGAUGGUCUUGGAUAUCAAAGGCCUUCAAUAAAAAUUCCUGUCUCUGUUAUGAUGCCAUUGGCUCAUGUGGUGGAAUGGACUUACAAGUCGUUCUGCAAGUAUGGCAUGAAGGUUCCUCAGUUGACACCGUCAAGGAUCAGGCUCCUCUCAUGCAAUCGAACAUUCAGUUGCUCAAGAGCGAAAGAUCAGCUUGGUUAUGAACCCAUUGUAUCACUCAAGGAUGGUCUGAAGAGAACAAUAGAGUCGUAUUCCCAUAUGCAAGCUCAGAAUCAAAGGAGUAUAUCAAAGACUUCGAUUUUGCUUGGGAAUGGAAAUGUUGCAAAAACGCUUCUUUGGGAAGAUUCGAAGCAAACAAUGACAGUGCUACUACUAUUGGCUGUUAUCUACUACCAGUUAUUCACAUGUGGUUACACCAUUAUCACAGCAAUGGCAAAAAUUUUCUCACUAACAGCACUGUUCUUGUUCAUUCAUGGCAUGCUUCCUGCAAAUGUGUUUGGCCACAAGAUUGAGAAACUUGAGCCCUCAAACUUCCACAUCUCACAGGUGGAGGCACAUCAUAUUGCUUGCUCAGUCAGUUCAUCAUGGAACUCAUUAGUUGGUGUGCUAAAAUCUCUUUGUAGGGGAAAUGAUUGGCCACUUUUUCUCAAGGUGGUAUUCUUCCUACUGGUUGUUAGCAUCCUUAGUGCUAUGUCUUCGGAGGCUGCAUUUAAAAUAGGUAUUCCUCUCAUUUUCAUAGGCUUCAAAGCAUAUGAGAAAUGGGAGGACACAAUUGACAGCCUGGUGGGUGAUGCUUGUUCGUUCGUUCUACAGUUUACUCCUAUCCAGAUAUCUUCAAGGCAGAAACAAACAUAG